rnacentral:rRNA from 1 species
UGAAGAGAGCUUGCUCUCUGAUUCAGCGGCGGACGGGUGAGUAAUGCCUAGGAAUCUGCCUGGUAGUGGGGGACAACGUUUCGAAAGGAACGCUAAUACCGCAUACGUCCUACGGGAGAAAGCAGGGGACCUUCGGGCCUUGCGCUAUCAGAUGAGCCUAGGUCGGAUUAGCUAGUUGGUGAGGUAAUGGCUCACCAAGGCGACGAUCCGUAACUGGUCUGAGAGGAUGAUCAGUCACACUGGAACUGAGACACGGUCCAGACUCCUACGGGAGGCAGCAGUGGGGAAUAUUGGACAAUGGGCGAAAGCCUGAUCCAGCCAUGCCGCGUGUGUGAAGAAGGUCUUCGGAUUGUAAAGCACUUUAAGUUGGGAGGAAGGGUUGUAGAUUAAUACUCUGCAAUUUUGACGUUACCGACAGAAUAAGCACCGGCUAACUCUGUGCCAGCAGCCGCGGUAAUACAGAGGGUGCAAGCGUUAAUCGGAAUUACUGGGCGUAAAGCGCGCGUAGGUGGUUUGUUAAGUUGGAUGUGAAAGCCCCGGGCUCAACCUGGGAACUGCAUUCAAAACUGACAAGCUAGAGUAUGGUAGAGGGUGGUGGAAUUUCCUGUGUAGCGGUGAAAUGCGUAGAUAUAGGAAGGAACACCAGUGGCGAAGGCGACCACCUGGACUGAUACUGACACUGAGGUGCGAAAGCGUGGGGAGCAAACAGGAUUAGAUACCCUGGUAGUCCACGCCGUAAACGAUGUCAACUAGCCGUUGGGAGCCUUGAGCUCUUAGUGGCGCAGCUAACGCAUUAAGUGACCGCUUCGGACGCGCCAUGUUAAGA